rnacentral:rRNA from 1 species
AGUGAACGCUGUCGGUAGGCCUAACACAUGCAAGUCGAACGGCAGCACAGUAAGAGCUUGCUCUUACGGGUGGCGAGUGGCGGACGGGUGAGGAAUACAUCGGAAUCUACUUUUUCGUGGGGGAUAACGUAGGGAAACUUACGCUAAUACCGCAUACGACCUACGGGUGAAAGCAGGGGAUCUUCGGACCUUGCGCGAUUGAAUGAGCCGAUGUCGGAUUAGCUAGUUGGCGGGGUAAAGGCCCACCAAGGCGACGAUCCGUAGCUGGUCUGAGAGGAUGAUCAGCCACACUGGAACUGAGACACGGUCCAGACUCCUACGGGAGGCAGCAGUGGGGAAUAUUGGACAAUGGGCGCAAGCCUGAUCCAGCCAUACCGCGUGGGUGAAGAAGGCCUUCGGGUUGUAAAGCCCUUUUGUUGGGAAAGAAAAGCAGCAGGUUAAUACCCCGCUGUUCUGACGGUACCCAAAGAAUAAGCACCGGCUAACCUCGUG